GACGAACGCUGGCGGCGUGCCUAAUACAUGCAAGUAGAACGCACAGUUUAUACCGUAGCUUGCUACACCAUAGACUGUGAGUUGCGAACGGGUGAGUAACGCGUAGGUAACCUGCCUGGUAGCGGGGGAUAACUAUUGGAAACGAUAGCUAAUACCGCAUAAUAUUGAUUAUUGCAUGAUAAUUGAUUGAAAGAUGCUAUUGCAUCACUACCAGAUGGACCUGCGUUGUAUUAGCUAGUAGGUGAGGUAACGGCUCACCUAGGCGACGAUACAUAGCCGACCUGAGAGGGUGAUCGGCCACACUGGGACUGAGACACGGCCCAGACUCCUACGGGAGGCAGCAGUAGGGAAUCUUCGGCAAUGGACGAAAGUCUGACCGAGCAACGCCGCGUGAGUGAAGAAGGUUUUCGGAUCGUAAAGCUCUGUUGUAAGAGAAGAACGGGUGUGAGAGUGGAAAGUUCACACUGCGACGGUAUCUUACCAGAAAGAGACGGCUAACUACGUG
rnacentral:rRNA from 1 species